CUUGCUUUCUCCGCCGGCGACCGGCGCACGGGUGAGUAACACGUAUGCAACCUGCCCCUGUCAGGGGGACAACCCGCCGAAAGGCGGGCUAAACCCGCGUACAUGCCACCGGGGCAUCCCGGAGGCAGGAAAGGCUUCGGCCGGACAGGGAUGGGCAUGCGGCCCAUUAGGCAGUAGGCGGGGUAACGGCCCACCUAACCGACGAUGCGUAGGGGUUCUGAGAGGAAGGUCCCCCACACUGGUACUGAGACACGGACCAGACUCCUACGGGAGGCAGCAG
rnacentral:rRNA from 1 species